UACGUAGGCAGCGAGCGUUGUUCGGAGUUACUGGGCGUAAAGAGUGCGUAGGCGGUUUUCUAAGUUUGGUGUGAAAUCUCCCGGCUUAACUGGGAGGGUGCGCCGAAGACUGGAAGGCUUGAGUAUGGGAGAGGUAAGCGGAAUUCCAGGUGUAGCGGUGAAAUGCGUAGAUAUCUGGAGGAACACCGGUGGCGAAGGCGGCAUCCUGGACCAAUAUUGACGCUGAGGAGCGAAAGCCAGGGGAGCAAAGCGGG
rnacentral:rRNA from 1 species